rnacentral:rRNA from 1 species
GACGAACGCUGGCGGCGUGCUUAACACAUGCAAGUCGAACGGAAAGGCCCUGCUUUUGUGGGGUGCUCGAGUGGCGAACGGGUGAGUAACACGUGAGUAACCUGCCCUUGACUUUGGGAUAACUUCAGGAAACUGGGGCUAAUACCGGAUAGGAGCUCCUGCUGCAUGGUGGGGGUUGGAAAGUUUCGGCGGUUGGGGAUGGACUCGCGGCUUAUCAGCUUGUUGGUGGGGUAGUGGCUUACCAAGGCUUUGACGGGUAGCCGGCCUGAGAGGGUGACCGGCCACAAUGGGACUGAGAUACAGCCCAGACUCCUACGGGAGGCAGCAGGGGGGAAUAUUGCACAAUGGGCGGAAGCCUGAUGCAGAAACGCCGCGUUCGGGAAGACGGCCUUCGGGUUGUAAACCGCUUUCGCCUGUGACGAAGCGUGAGUGACGGUAAUGGGUAAAGAAGCACCGGCUAACUACGUG